rnacentral:rRNA from 1 species
GUGGGGAAUAUUGGACAAUGGGCGAAAGCCUGAUCCAGCCAUGCCGCGUGUGUGAAGAAGGUCUUCGGAUUGUAAAGCACUUUAAGUUGGGAGGAAGGGCAGUAAGUUAAUACCUUGCUGUUUUGACGUUACCGACAGAAUAAGCACCGGCUAACUUCGUGCCAGCAGCCGCGGUAAUACGAAGGGUGCAAGCGUUAAUCGGAAUUACUGGGCGUAAAGCGCGCGUAGGUGGUUUUGUAAGUUGGAGGUGAAAUCCCCGGGCUCAACCUGGGAACUGCCUCCAAAACUGCAUGACUAGAGUACGGUAGAGGGUAGUGGAAUUUCCUGUGUAGCGGUGAAAUGCGUAGAUAUAGGAAGGAACACCAGUGGCGAAGGCGACUACCUAGACUGAUACUGACACUGAGGUGCGAAAGCGUGGGGAGCAAACAGGAUUAGAAACCCGGGUAGUCC